rnacentral:rRNA from 1 species
GUCUGUUUGAAGGUAUAGAAAGUCCAGCCUGCCCUCUGAGAGUUGAUGUUGAAGGGCCGCGGUAUCCUGACCGUGCAAAGGUAGCAUAAUAAUUAGUUUUUUAAUUGGAAUCUUGUAUGAAUGGUUUGACAAAAUAAAAGCUGUCUCUGUUAUUUCUAUUGAAUUUAACUUUUAAGUGAAAAGGCUUAAAUGAAUUAAAAAGACGAUAAGACCCUAUAAAGCUUUAUAAAAUGAUCUUAUUUAAUUGAAUUAAAAAUAAAAAUUAAAUUUUUAUUUUUAUUAUAUUGGGGCGAUAAAAGUAUAAAUUUCAUUAACUGCUUAAAGAUAAAUACAAAUAUAGGUGAUUAUAUUUGAUAGAUCCUUAGUUAAAGAUUUAAAAAUUAAGUUACUUUAGGGAUAACAGCGUUAUUUUCUUUGAGAGUUCAUAUCGAAAGGAAAGUUUGCGACCUCGAUGUUGAAUUAAAAUUUCUAGAUAGUUGCAGCAUUUAUCUUAGAAGGUCUGUUCGACCUUUAAAAUUUUACAUGAUUUGAGUUCAGACCGGCGUAAGCCAGGUUGGUUUCUAUCUUUUAAUAUAGGAGUAAAAUAUUUUAGUACGAAAGGAUUAAAUAAUUGAAAUAAUUUUAGUAGGUGAAAUCAUA